GUCCGCUACUGGUUCUCCAAAACCUGCUGGAUUUCACCCCUGAUCUUGGCCCAGAACUGUACAUAUGUUUAUGCAUGUUGGAGUGAAGGGAAAACCUAAUGCAAAAGAAGACAUGGAAUGCUGAUAUUUUGUUCAUUUGUUCGUUCAUUUGUUCAUUCCUUUAUUUUCCCAUGAUGUGAUGACAUGCAACAAAAGCAGAAAUAAAAUCCAGGAUUCGAUCUAUAUAAUUUAAACCCCAAAGCUGCAUUAUAAUAGACAAGUCAUGCAAAAGGCUUAAACACACAGCAUGCAUCAAGCAAAUAAUUUUUAUCCUCAGCUUUUCAGUUUGCCCAUUGGAGGGAUGCCUGCGGUGCAAGAAAAGGGGACUGUGUCUUUAUAGUUGAGUAGAGAAAGGACUUUUAUAUACGGAACAAGCUUUGUUUACAGGACAAAGUUAUCAAGUAGCCAUAUUUUAACCUAGUGGGUGGCAGAACCCAGCCUGUGUGACCAGAGUAUGUUUCAGAGGGUUGUACAAAAAAAUCAUUGGUAAAAUCACGGUUGCUAAUCAUGGAUGAAUCAUGUUGCACCAAUUGAGCCAGAGAACCUAAUAAAAUAUCCUCUGUCGAAUCACAAAUGUUAAGGCGUAUGAAAGUCUUCUUUUUGACUCUUUUCUGUCAAUAUUACCAUGAUGGCUCUGAAUGAUGGCACCUGUAGUGUAACACAUCCGAGUUAGGGAAUGCAUACAGGAGCCUUCCUUUUCCCUCAUUGCGGAAGGCUGAGACAAUGGUUGUAUCUCCUUUUGCAAAAAUGGGAGGAAUGAAUGAUACAUAUCAUUAGCAGUUCUAUAAUUGGAUUUCCUGUUUAUUUGUUGGGUGGCUUGUUUUCUGCUAAGGAUAAAAGCUACUUGCUGGAAGUUAAUUUGGUCAACCCUAGAAGGAGGAAGAGGGAAGAGGAGAAAUAUACAUUAUUGGCAUUUGCUCAUCAUAUGAAUGCUGAGAUGGGAGAGGAGAGAACUGAAGCCGAAUGACUCCAGGUGUCAUUGAGUAUUGAGAAGGUUGUGGUCUACUUUUCUAAGCUGCUUCUGGUUGAAAAUUGGGAUCAUGUCUCCCUCUUGUGGAUGAAUGCAAACACUGUGCUUUUGGGGAGAUUCAGUCAUACAAUUUGCCCAUCAAAUAAGAGCAGGAAAAGUGGACUCUCUCUGGGACUGUUCUGAGGAAAGGAUCCUGGAAGUUAGCUUUUUGGAACUGCAUUCCUCUUCAGAUCCAGGUGGUCCCAAUUCUAUUGGGAUGUAAGACAGGCAUUAACAUCUGGAUGUCCAAGAUACUAUAGAAAAUAUUCCCUAUUAACAAGAACCUCUAGUACCAGAAAAUGAAGUUAUAUCAGCAGUCCAGUCAUAAAGUCAGACGGCUACAAGAACUGAUGAAACAUCCAUAGAAUUAUUGCAAGUAAUGGAAUGAAUGUUCCAUUUAAUGAAUGGAAUCAUUAAAGGUUCUAACUGAGCUACACCAGCCAAUCUGGAGAACAACACAAUGGCCAACAGAAUGGAAAAGGUCAAUCUACAUUCCAAUCCUCUACUCAAAAGGGGGAUUUAACCGUGUGCAAAUGAUUAUGCAGUGUCCUUAACUUUACAUUCUAGCAAAAUGUUUAAAAUCAUCCAAUGCAGAUUAGAGCCCUGUAUGAUAAAAGAGAUGCCAGAUGUUGAGUUUGGCUUUAGAAAUGCAAAGAAACACAAGACAUUGUUUCUAACGCAUGCUGGAUAAUCCGGAAAGCUAAAGAAUACCAAAAAGAAAUUACUAUAGAUUUUAUUGAUCAUAGAAAGGCCUUUGAUUGUGUUCAGUUGGAGAUGUGGAAGGUGCUUACAAAUAUGAGAAUCCCAGAACACUUCAUUGUCCUUAUGAAAAACACUUGCACAGAUCAGGAAGCCACACUAUGGGCAGAAAUAGAUUGGCUCCAGGCUGGCAAAGGAAUGCAAAAAGACUGUACAUUGUUCCCUUAUUUAUUCAACCUAUAUCCUGAAUAUAUAUAUUGAGAAGUUAGAUUUGAAAUAGGUAAGCAUGGUUUUAAAAUUGGAGGAGAAAACAUCAAUAACUUAUGCUACACUUAUGACACUACUCUGACGGUUCAAAGUUUUUUUAAUUUAUGAACACUUUUAUGGCUGCCCAACUCACUUCUAGUGAUACCAGGCAGCUUGCAAUGAGAAGGAUGUGCAAGCUUUAGUAAUAAAAGUCAAGGAGUAUAGUGAAAACA